rnacentral:rRNA from 1 species
GACGAACGCUGGCGGCGUGCUUAACACAUGCAAGUCGAACGAGGCCCCUUCUUCGGAAGGGUGUCCUAGUGGCGAACGGGUGAGUAACACGUGGGCAACCUGCCCCCGGCUCGGGGAUAACCCCAAGAAAUUGGGGCUAAUACCGGAUACGACAGCUGACCGCAUGGUCCGGUGGGGGAAAGAUUUAUCGGCUGGGGAUGGGCCCGCGGCCUAUCAGCUUGUUGGUGGGGUAGUGGCCUACCAAGGCGACGACGGGUAGCCGGCCUGAGAGGGUGACCGGCCACACUGGGACUGAGACACGGCCCAGACUCCUACGGGAGGCAGCAGUGGGGAAUAUUGCGCAAUGGGCGAAAGCCUGACGCAGCGACGCAGCGUGAGGGACGACGGCCUUCGGGUUGUAAACCUCUUUCAGCGGGGACGAAGCGAAAGUGACGGUACCCGCAGAAGAAGCACCGGCUAACUACGUGCCAGCAGCCGCAGUAACAC